AUUGAACGCUGGCGGCAGGCUUAACACAUGCAAGUCGAGCGGUAGCACAAGAGAGCUUGCUCUCUGGGUGACGAGCGGCGGACGGGUGAGUAAUGUCUGGGAAACUGCCUGAUGGAGGGGGAUAACUACUGGAAACGGUAGCUAAUACCGCAUAACGUCGCAAGACCAAAGAGGGGGACCUUCGGGCCUCUUGCCAUCAGAUGUGCCCAGAUGGGAUUAGCUAGUAGGUGGGGUAAUGGCUCACCUAGGCGACGAUCCCUAGCUGGUCUGAGAGGAUGACCAGCCACACUGGAACUGAGACACGGUCCAGACUCCUACGGGAGGCAGCAGUGGGGAAUAUUGCACAAUGGGCGCAAGCCUGAUGCAGCCAUGCCGCGUGUGCGAAGAAGGCCUUCGGGUUGUAAAGCACUUUCAGCGAGGAGGAAGGUAGUGAACUUAAUACGUUCAUCAAUUGACGUUACUCGCAGAAGAAGCACCGGCUAACUCCGUGCCAGCAGCCGCGGUAAUACGGAGGGUGCAAGCGUUAAUCGGAAUUACUGGGCGUAAAGCGCACGCAGGCGGUUUGUUAAGUCAGAUGUGAAAUCCCCGGGCUCAACCUGGGAACUGCAUUUGAAACUGGCAAGCUAGAGUCUCGUAGAGGGGGGUAGAAUUCCAGGUGUAGCGGUGAAAUGCGUAGAGAUCUGGAGGAAUACCGGUGGCGAAGGCGGCCCCCUGGACGAAGACUGACGCUCAGGUGCGAAAGCGUGGGGAGCAAACAGGAUUAGAUACCCUGGUAGUCCACGCUGUAAACGAUGUCGAUUUGGAGGUUGUGCCCUUGAGGCGUGGCUUCCGGAGCUAACGCGUUAAAUCGACCGCCUGGGGAGUACGGCCGCAAGGUUAAAACUCAAAUGAAUUGACGGGGGCCCGCACAAGCGGUGGAGCAUGUGGUUUAAUUCGAUGCAACGCGAAGAACCUUACCUACUCUUGACAUCCAGAGAACUUUCCAGAGAUGGAUUGGUGCCUUCGGGAACUCUGAGACAGGUGCUGCAUGGCUGUCGUCAGCUCGUGUUGUGAAAUGUUGGGUUAAGUCCCGCAACGAGCGCAACCCUUAUCCUUUGUUGCCAGCGGUUCGGCCGGGAACUCAAAGGAGACUGCCAGUGAUAAACUGGAGGAAGGUGGGGGUGACGUCAAGUCAUCAUGGCCCUUACGAGUAGGGCUACACACGUGCUACAAUGGCAUAUACAAAGAGAAGCGACCUCGCGAGAGCAAGCGGACCUCAUAAAGUAUGUCGUAGUCCGGAUUGGAGUCUGCAACUCGACUCCAUGAAGUCGGAAUCGCUAGUAAUCGUAGAUCAGAAUGCUACGGUGAAUACGUUCCCGGGCCU
rnacentral:rRNA from 1 species